rnacentral:lncRNA from 14 species
CUCAUCUGAGCUCUGACAAGGACAGAAGCCAUUCCUUGCUGACCACUGUGACUUGCUGCCCCAAGUCUCUCAGGAACUGUUGGUGUACCCAUUCAGAUAAUUGAAAGGCACUACUUUUCCACAAGGACACCCAGAAGCCCUGCCACAUCAGUCCAUCUCCUGGCAAGAUGAGCUUCUCUCUCACAUACACUGAGCUGGUCAACGUAGCCAUACCACAGUGUGGGGUAGUGAACUUCAAGGCCCUUCAUCUCCUGCUACAGGGCAUCCUGGAUCACAUCCAAAUCGCUGAGCUCAAGAAAGUCCUUUCAGGGGACGAGGACUUCCUUCAAGCUUCACCAGUGAUGCUUAUACCCAGGGAAGGAGAUGCACAGCCCAUCAUCAACCCAAUGAAGAGGCUUAGCAACAUCUUUGACCACGUGGUAGACCGGAUGGAAAAGAUAGAGGUCAAACUGGCUGAGAUGCAGGGCAUACCCACGACUGCUAAGCUGUUAGAGGAUAGCCAGGGGACCAAGCGGCCGGCUGAGGAUAUGUGGAAUAACAUCAAGAUCCAGAAGAGGAUUGAGGGCAACGAGCUAGCCACAGAAAAGUUUGCAAAGACUCUGCAGGAUUUGCUCAGUGACCUUCACGUAACCAAGAGCACUGUGGAGACUGUUAAGAAGGAUAUGGACACGGUUAAGUUUGUAUUUGAAAAGCUAAACCCACAAAAAAUGGAACUUCUCUGUGAUGACUUGAAAGUACAGAACCGGAAGCUGGGUGCCCUGCAGCGGGA